rnacentral:rRNA from 1 species
UACGUAGGGUGCGAGCGUUGUCCGGAAUUAUUGGGUGUAAAGAGCUUGUAGGCGGUUUGUCGCGUCUGCUGUGAAAAUCCGGGGCUCAACCCCGGACUUGCAGUGGGUACGGGCAGACUAGAGUGUGGUAGGGGAGACUGGAAUUCCUGGUGUAGCGGUGAAAUGCGCAGAUAUCAGGAGGAACACCGAUGGCGAAGGCAGGUCUCUGGGCCACUACUGACGCUGAGAAGCGAAAGCAUGGGGAGCGAACAGG